CGCAAUUAUACCCUUUAAAGAGAACACGCGGAUCCUCCCCGGGUCGGGUCACCGCGCGGGUUGAAGAUGGCUUAAACGGCGCCGUUGCAUUAUAUUAUAAAAUCAAAUUUUUUUCACAAAAAACCUUCAUUUCUGUCAAAAUGAAAUAAAAAAAAAAAACAAAAACUCUCCUUUUCCCUCCCUCCCUUUCUACAUCCGACCAUGGAUUCCGGCCAAAAGCUCCGGCGCGUCACCAAUGUAGCGCCUUCGUGGGCGGUGGUCAUAGGCGCAAAAUAGGGCCUUUUCGGCUCCUUUUCAAAGCCGGUAGCUUCUAGGCCAUGUAUCUAAGGCCGAAUCUUGCGAAAGACGAACGAAAAGCGCAAAAACCGGAAGCAAAACCGUUCGGCCUCCCCUCCUCCGGCGCGACGUUGGAAGGAAGGUACUUCCUUUCCUUAUUCUUUUAUUUUUUUUAUGUAAAAAUAUGCGUAAAGAAAAAAAACAAACCAAAAAUAGAGUUAAAAAGAUUUGAACAGAGAAUGAAAGAAAAUCACCUCUUAAGAUUCUAAUUUUUAUUUCUUUUUUGUUUGCUAAUAUGUUUCUUUGAUUACAAAAAAGGAAGCCAAGAGCUUCAAAAUACAUUUUUCUUGGCUUUUAUAGCCGAAUGCCACUGUUUCUAUUGCCUUAUUUUCUCCGUUUUGUUUCUUUUGCAGGUGACGCCGCAAGUGGGGGGAGGCCGACGUGAUGUUGGCAGUGACGGCGUGACGUUGGCGGCGGUGGCAGAAGGCCAAGAGUCAGCAUGUGCGGCGCUAGGGCUAGGGGCAGAAGGCUGCGGUGCUAGGGUUUCAGAACUGAAACCCUAGGCAGAUUUUUGGGAAAAAUGGCUAGGGUAUUGGGCCUCGGGUUUGGGCUUUGGGUAAAAUUGGGCUUUGAUGGGUUAGAGGCUAAUUGGGUGUAUUGGGUUUUGGGGUGUAUUGUUUGGGUUGUUUUGUAAUGGGUUUGGGAAGGGUUAAAAUUGGGCUUGUACACAAUACACCCAAACCUCAGCCCAAUUACAAACUUAGCCCAGCAGAGCCAACCCACCUAAACACUAACCCAACACCCAUGACCCAAACCUCAGCCCAAUAACCCACUUGGCCCAACAAGACCCAAACCCAGAAACUAAAGUCAAAUUAGGGUUUCAGAAAAGCUGAAACCCUAGCUCCUGGCCGUCGCACGUCUGUCGCAUCACCAGCAGCCACGAGCCACCGCCAUGCCCACUUGCCGCGUCAAUCACCUGCAAACAAUAAAGAAAGACAACAGCAACAGUAGCAAAGAUGGGAUUUUUUCUUUUUCUUUGCUUUCAGCUAUAAAGCCGAAUAUUGUAAAGGAAAUAGGGUUUUUUUUCUCUUUUAUUUUUCUUCUUUUCUUUCGGUUAAAGCUGAAUAGGCUGUAAAGAAGAACUUCUUCUUCUUUUAUGAACAUUAAUAAAGAAAAAAACAAAAACAAGUUUGAGAAGGUGAUUUUUUUUACUUUUUUGCUUUUUUAUUAUUAUUUCUUUUUAUAUUUUACAGAGCAUAAUAAAAUAAAGAGGGAAAAUGGAGGCUCACUGGACGCCGUGACCACACUGUAGGAAGGUUUUUCCCCGUCACUGGAAUCAAGCCCAAAGGGGUUGAGAAUCUCCAUUUUCGGUCUUCACUGGUUGAGAGAGCGUGGCCCUCAAGGACACCAUGCGACAAGGGCUGAAAAGCCCAUUCUUUAGCGUCGUCGCCAGCCACGGCGGUGGCGUGUCAGAGGUUGAGGGAGUUCCAUGGCCAGAUGUGGGGCUGUUGAAAGAGAGGGAUUUUAAUUUUUUUUGGUGAAGGGCAUCAGAAAUGAAUUUUGAGAAAAAAAUUUGCUUAAAUAGAGAUAUAAAACGACACCGUUUCAGUCAGGGGCAUUUAGCACCAAGUUUACCUCGUUAUUUUUCUUGUGAUUUCGGUUUGGUCCUCAUUUGAACGAUGCCAUUUUGGAGGGAAAGGGAAAAUUACCCUUUCAGUCCCUCUAUGUUAUUCGCGCGUUCAUAAUAGUCCUCUUCUUUUAUUUAUUUAUAGAUUUGGCCCCGAAUUUUGUUUUAAAAUCCAAUUUAGCCUUUUUUUGUUAUUUUGAUUAUUUUAUCAUUAAAACUAAUAAAUUAUUAUUAUUAUUAGUAGUAGUAGUAGUAGUAGUAGUAGUAGUAGUAGUAGUAGUAGUAGUAGUAGUAUUAAUAUUAUUGUUAUUAUCAUCAUAGUUAUGUUUAUACUUACUAUGUAAAUUUUAAAUAUAU
rnacentral:lncRNA from 1 species